rnacentral:lncRNA from 1 species
CUGGCCUUGAACUCAGAAAUCCACCUGCCUCUGCCUCCCAAGUGCUGGGAUUAAAGGUGUGCACCACCAUGCCCAGCUCUCCUCUCAUUUUCUAUGGUACCUUCACACUUUUCUUUAUCCCUUUCCCUUUUCUGUGUACCUUAUAUAUACUCUAAUUUCUCCAUCUCUCCUCCUCCUCUCCCUCCUCUUCCUUCAGAUUCUUUAAGAGAGGGCUUCUCUGUGUAGCCCUGGCUAUCCUCAAACUUACUCUGUAAAUGAAGUUGGUCCGGAACUGAGUCCAGCCUGCCUCUGCCUCCUGAGUGCUAGGAUUAAAGGCAGAUGCCAUGUAUGCUGCUCAUUCUCCAUCAUAACUGAUAUUCCUGUUUCCUGGUCCCAUCUGCCCUGUCCUGCCCCCUACCUUUCCUCCUCACCCAUUUUCAGUCUUUCCCCCUCUCUCUGGACUCUUCUCCCUCGCCUGCUAGCCCAGUCCUAGUCUCAGAGGAUAUGGGGCAGGAUACCCAGGGCUUGAUGUCCUCCUGGAUCCCUCCCCACAACCAGACCUCUGUCUGUCUCUGGGUCCUAGCCUGGGGACAUAAGGAAUGUGAUCAAGAGUGCUCAGUCCACUUUGCUCCUCUACCUGCCCAGUCUCCUCCUCUACCUGCCCUGUCUCCUUGCUCGUUUCUCUAUCCCCACCUCCUUCUCCCUAGGCUGCCUAGCCCCCCUUUCUGGGCUCUCUGUCCUGUUCUUUUCUGUGCUUGCCCUCAUGGCCUCACUGUUCUUUCUGGAAUCUUCUUUUGUUCUGUUCUCCAUCACUAUUCCCUUUCUUCCUCCAUUUUCUUUACAACCCAGGCUCUCCCACCAGUGCUGUAACACCACCUCCUCCCCUUUCCUCACUGAAACUUAGAAGCUGUCUCCACCUCCCUUAGCAUCUCUGCUGUUUAUCUCCCUUGACCAUUCAGGCCUUUCUUGUCUCCGAUAUCCAGUCUCUCCUCCCCUCUUAUCUAUUCUGACCCAAGGUGCUGAUCUCUCUCUCUCUCUCUCUCACACACACACACACACACACACACACACACACACACCCAACUUCUGACUAAUUCCCUUUCUGGUUGUCCCUCACUCUGCUCUCUCUGUCCCUCACACUCCUGUGGAACUCCUUCUGGUCUUCCUGUCUCUUUCUUGCACUGACUCCCUAUCCUCUCCUGGUGUGUGUGUGUGUGUGUAUGUGCAUAUGUGCACACACAGUAUAGGACAGAGGUCAACCUUAGGUGUUACUCAUGCUUAUUUUGUAUGUUCAUGUAUGCAUAUGGUGUGCUCACCUGUAAAACAUGUGUGAAGGUAGGACAUCAACAUCUCGUGUCCUCUCUAUUGUUUUGCGCCUUAGUUUUUGAACUUGACACCUUCCGAUUUGGUGAGUCUGGCCAGCCAGGAAGCCUGGGAAUCCCCAGCACCAGGAUCACUUACAGGCACUGUCACUGUGGGGGCUGUAAUGUGGGUACAGGCACUGUCACUGUGGGGGCUGUAAUGUGGGUACAGGCAGUGUCACUGUGAGGGCUGUAGUGUGGGUACAGGCACUGUCACUGUGCAGGCUGUAGUGUGGGUACAGGCACCUGCCACUGUGUGGGCUGUAGUGUGGGUACAGGCACUGUCACUGUGCAGGCUGUAGUGUGGGUACAGGCACUGUCACUGUGCAGGCUGUAGUGUGGGUACAGGCACUGUCACUGUGCAGGCUGUAGUGUGGGUACAGGCACCUGCCACUGUGUGGGCUGUAGUGUGGGUACAGGCAGUGUCACUGUGUGGGCUGCAGUGUGGGUACAGGCACCUGCUACUGUGUGGGCUGUAGUGUGGGUACAGGCA